CAGGGAGGGAGGGGGCAGAGAGAGGCAGAGACUGCAUUGGAUUUCCGCUUGGCUCCCACCCAUGGCUAAUGGAAUCCGAGGGUCCGAGAGGACCCCAGGACCCUCUGGGCUUUGUCGGGAGGGGUUGGGUAGUGGGGGUGGGGGAGAAGGGGAGCAGUUAUGAGGCCCGUGGGGCAGAAGAGGCCCCAUCUCAGCCACCAGUCUGAACCCUGCUGUGUGAUCCUGGGCCAAUCCCUGGCCCUGCCCCUUCCUGGCUCAGGGACUGUGGCCUGGAACGUGGAUGAGGCAGCUGUGGUUCCAGCAGCCAUCUAGGACCAUGAAGUGAUCAGGAGAAUGAAAGCCCCAUGCCAGCGACGAUGGAGCAGAAAGACAGAAAGGGCUGUGUUUCUAAUGACACUGUGGCGCCAUCAUCCCAGCUCUGCUCAUGGUCACCUUUUAUGUGUGAGAGAAAUAAUCUUCUGUCUAUGUAAGCCGCUCCUGAACGUAUCAGUUUCUCUUUUAUCUUGUAUUCUAGUGUUGUCUUUGUUCGUGUUAUGUCCAAUCUCUCUUACUGGCCACUGAAGAAAAAUUCUCACUGAUAUAUAUGUCACUGACUCUUAUGUGAACUUGGAGGGGUGGGGUGAAUACGGAUGCUAUUUCCCAUUUUGGGUCUGGAUAGUGUUCUUGGGGUUAACAGUAUGGGCUAAAAUCCAUCCUCACUUCCUAGCUGUGCCAUUGCCUGGAAACCUCAUAUUGGAGAACACUGAUUUAGCCAGUAGUUUUCAACUCCAUGGAAUUCCCUUAGUGUCCACUUAGGUAGGGAGAGUCACUGGACAGAACUUUUAGUUCUCUCCUUCCUUCAUUGGCCAGAAUUGGUCACAUGACCACCUGAAACUGCAAGACAGUCUGGGAAAGUGAGUAUCUGGCAUUUUCAGCUUCCUUUAAGGGAGGCAGUGCCUCGGUCAUAAAAGAGCAAAGAGGAGUGGCUGCUGGGGAAGUAUCCACAUAUCUUCCCUCGCUAUAUAUAUUUAUUGAGCAUCUAAUCUACUCUACUUCAAUCAAAACAGUUUCUUUUAUAUAUUAGUCUUCUCUGUCUCUUAUCAUACUUGCCAAAAGUUUGUUGAUUUCUCUGGUAUUUUCAAAGAGCCAGCUUUAGGUUUUAUUGACUAGCUCUGUUUGAUUUUAUAUUUCAUCAAUUUCUGCUUUUACCUUUCUUAAUUUCUUACAUUUUUUCUUUGGUUUAUUUCAUGGACUUUUUCUAGUUUCUUGAGUGGUAACCUUAUUUUGCUCAAUUUCAAAAUCUUUUCUUUUUGGUACUCUCAAUGUAUUUAAGCAUUUUAAUGCUAUCAUCCUGCUCCGAGUGUGGCUUUGAUCAUAUCCCAUAGUCUCUAUAUAUAAUAUUUUCACUGUCAUUUGAUUUUGGUUGCUAUUUUACAUUUUAAUUGCCUCUGUAAUCCACGUAUCAUUUAAAUGCAAGAAUUUUUUUUUUCAACAGUGUGUAGAAAGUUGGUGGUGGUGGGAGAAGAGGGCUAUGGCUUUUGAAUUGAUAUCUGCUUUUAUUGCAUUGUGAUUUAAUAUAUUAAAAAUGUUUUAAAAAUAA